UUUAAAUACUCUAUCAGUGGUAGAGGAGCAUUGUAUUAGGGAAGAAGCCCAAGCGAAAGCAGGCGUGGACUUAAUACAAGAGAGAAUGCUGGCAUGAGUAGCGAGAAGGGAUGUGAGAAUCAUCCCCGUCGAAACCCCAAGGACUCCUGAGCAAGGCUCGUCCCCUCAGGGAAAGUCGGGACCUAAGGCGAGGCCAAAAGGCGUAGCCGAUGGAUAACAGGUUUAUAUUCCUGUACCGCUUAAAGUCGCUAUUAGAGAAGUGAUGACGCAAGAGGAUAAGCUAAGCUGCCCGAUGGAUGGCAGUCUAAGCACAAAGGCUGAUUAGUAGGCAAAUCCGCUAAUCAAAAAGCUAAUGUGUGAUAGGUAUCGAAAACAUGAGUAGAGAAGUAGCCGAUUUCAAAUUGCCAAGAAAAGUCACUAUCGAUGACCAAAGCGCCCGUACCAAAACCGACACAGGUAGGGAGGUAGAGAAUACCAAGACGCGCGGAAGAACCUUUGUUAAGGAACUCGGCAAAAUGUCCCCGUAACUUCGGGAGAAGGGGAGCCAUAGCGAUAUGGCCACAGAAACCAGGCCCAAGCGACUGUUUACCAAAAACACAAGUUUCUGCAAAAUCGUAAGAUGAAGUAUAGGAGCUGACACCUGCCCGGUGCUGGAAGGUUAAGGGGAAGGCUUAGCGCAAGCGAAGGCUAGAACUUAAGCCCCAGUAAACGGCGGCCGUAACUAUAACGGUCCUAAGGUAGCGAAAUUCCUUGUCGGGUAAGUUCCGACCCGCACGAAAGGUGUAACGAUUUGGGCACUGUCUCAACAAAGGAUCCGGUGAAAUUGUAGUAGUCGUGAAGAUGCGACUUACCCACGCUAGGACGGAAAGACCCCGUGGAGCUUUACUGUAGGCUGAUAUUGGAUUUUGAGAUUAGAUGUACAGGAUAGUUGGGAGGCGAAGACGCGUGUACGCCAGUAUGCGCCAAGCCAUCCUUGGGAUACCAACCUUCUAAUAUCAGAAUUCUAACAUUGACCCUUAAUCAGGGCAAAGGACAUUGUCAGUUGGGCAGUUUGACUGGGGCGGUCGCCUCCUAAAAAGUAACGGAGGCGUUCAAAGGUUCGCUCAGAAUGGACGGAAACCAUUCGCAGAGUACAAAGGCAAAAGCGAGCUUAACUGCGAGAGAUACAGCUCAAGCAGAGUAGAAAUACGGACUUAGUGAUCCGGUGGCACCGCAUGGAAGGGCCAUCGCUCAACGGAUAAAAGCUACCCCGGGGAUAACAGGCUUAUCUCCCCCAAGAGUCCACAUCGACGGGGAGGUUUGGCACCUCGAUGUCGGCUCGUCUCAUCCUGGGGCUGAAGUAGGUCCCAAGGGUUGGGCUGUUCGCCCAUUAAAGAGGCACGCGAGCUGGGUUCAGAACGUCGUGAGACAGUUCGGUCCCUAUCCAGCGUGGGCGUAAGAAAUUUGCGAGGACCUGUCCUUAGUACGAGAGGACCGGGAUGGACAUACCACUGGUGUACCAGUUGUUCCGCCAGGAGCAUAGCUGGGUAGCUAAGUAUGGAAUUGAUAAGUACUGAAAGCAUCUAAGUACGAAGCAACCCUCAAGAUAAGAUUUCUAAAAGUACGUAAAGAAAAUACGUUUGAUAGGUCCAAGGUGUAAGUGCAGUAAUGUAUUAAGCUAAUGGAUACUAAACUUUUAAUCUUGACUGG
rnacentral:rRNA from 1 species